rnacentral:rRNA from 1 species
ACUGAACGCUGGCGGAAUGCUUUACACAUGCAAGUCGAGCGGCAGCGCGGGGCAACCUGGCGGCGAGCGGCGAACGGGUGAGUAAUGCAUCGGAACAUGUCCAUGGAUGGGGGAUAGCCCGGCGAAAGCCGGAUUAAUACCGCAUGAGCCCGAGAGGGGAAAGUGGGGGACCGCAAGGCCUCACGUCGAUGGGUUGGCCGAUGCCCGAUUAGCUAGUUGGUGAGGUAAUGGCUCACCAAGGCGAUGAUCGGUAGCUGGUCUGAGAGGAUGAUCAGCCACACUGGGACUGAGACACGGCCCAGACUCCUACGGGAGGCAGCAGUGGGGAAUUUUGGACAAUGGGGGCAACCCUGAUCCAGCCAUUCCGCGUGAGUGAAGAAGGCCUUCGGGUUGUAAAGCUCUUUUGUCCGGAGCGAAACGGGGCGCGUGAAUAUCGCGCUCUACUGACGGUACCGGAAGAAUAAGCACCGGCUAACUACGUGCCAGCAGCCGCAGUAA